UGGUGAAAUUAAGUGGAUCCUGCAAUGUC
rnacentral:piRNA from 1 species